CGCGAAAAUUCUGCAGGAAUUUUAAUAACUCGGAUUCGUACUGAUUAAAACGGAGGUCGCAUCCGACAUUCCUCCGACCAGCCUACGGUUGCUACUUGGCAGCGGAGUCACGGCGUACAACGAAGGGACGAAUCGAUAAGACACCAGCGUGCAAACCACGUCCGGAACUGGUCACAUCAAGUUGAACGCUCUACUGUCCAUAAUUCCCCGCAAUUCAGCGUGAGAGGAACUCGCGGUAGGACCAAGCACCUAAAUGAAGCCGUGUGCUUCUAACGACAUGCACUCCGAGGAGGAAGGAAAGACGGGAUUCUGUUGGUAAAAGGGAUGCACCACGUACCGUCUGCGUUGCACUGCCACCGACCUCGAGAAUAUUUACUAAUUCCCGUUGCGUAGCGAGAUAACGUUGGAAGGAGAGCGGAGGAGAAGAGUCGGUUGUCGUAGGACGUCGAGCGGACUAGGAAAGAGAUGGCCAACGGUAGGUCCAGAAAACGGCAGAAGCGGAAGAAAAAGGCAAGGAAACGGAGGAAGACGAGAAAGAGG
rnacentral:misc_RNA from 1 species